UGCUCCUGGGGACACUGGGAGCUGUGGGGGCUGCUUCUGGGUCCCCAGACCGCUGCAAGUGCGAAGGGGAAGGCACUCGCUUCCCCAGAGGAAAUCCAUCCGUCCUCCAAACAGUGGCUUUGCAGGGAGGAGGCCCCUGCUUAGCAAGAGAAAGCACCGUGCGUGGCAGAGAAUGAAUAAUUGAUUCGGGUGACAGGGAUUCACAGAUGUGACAUCAUCGUUGGGUGCAUUAGGAUGCUGAGCACCCCUGGGGGGAUAUGAGGAGUUCGAUGACCCAGGGAACUCAAAGAUAUUCAUGCAUAAUUUAUUUUACAGGGGAAAUAGGAAACCGGAGCAGCCCAUAAAAUUCUGAUCGCAUCCCAUUUCUUUGGUUGUGUCUCCCUCAAAAGGGUGUUCUAGGGGGGACAUUAUAUCCGUACAUGAAAAUACCAGCUUUCCAUAGGGAACAUUUUUCUCCGUGAGCAAAAUCCCAAGUCAUUGUACCUUAAUUUAAAAGCUAAGUCUUUUUUAAUUAUUGUAGCUCACUGAAGCAGGAGUGCAAAAAUAAUAGGUAAAUCAAAAGGGAGAAACCCAAAAGGCAAAACAGGCCACUGAGCUUCAUCUGGUAAGUGGGUAACAGCUUGAAUCCUGGUGCUCAAAGAAUCCCUCUGAAGUUCAGUCUUGUAAAAUCACACUUUCUCUCUUAACCCCUACACCAGUAGCAUGUCCUGCAAGGGUAUCUCUCUCCACAGAGGCAAUUUGGUGGUGGUAUCACCUGCAGUGCCUGGCUGCUGCGUGAUUUCAGAGGCUGAAAACCUCUUUUGAUGCCAGCCUUUCUCUCGUCUUUAGUGGAUGUUCUUUGCUCUCGUUUUUUUGAAUGAGUUUCUUUUGUUCCUCCUUUUCCCCCCCUCUGGUUUUGUUCCUCUCCUUUCUCUCCUAAAUUGCACAGCUUUCUACCAGCUUUUAUCCUCCCUUUCUUUUUUUCUUACAGAUUUUGAGUGUAAAUGAAGAAUGCACCUCUUAAGGGAGCAGAUGUAUGAAAAGCCUUCAUUUUGCAGUUGGAUUAACUCCUUGAUUGUCACUGGCAACAUUAUGCAAACUCAAUGGAUUUUGCAGUGUGUAUCUGCUGGGAACCUCAGCCGGGGCAUCUUGAGGAGCUCAGAAGUGAACCCAUGGGCAAGACACCAGCACAGCCAGCUGCAGACCUGUUAUGGUGCAAAAUGGCAAUCUGACCAAUAUGAUCUCCUUGCUACAGAGUACAUGAGCUACCAGAACUAAAAUGGUGAAUCCCUUUGCACCAUUUCUUGCACGUGAGGCAGGCACACAUGCACAUCUCAGCCAUGUGUUUGCCCUCCCUAGAAAACAGCUUUGAGAGAUCUUUCGGUGAGCAGUAAAUAAGCCUUGUA